rnacentral:lncRNA from 10 species
AAAUGCACUCUGGCAUUCACACAGGCACACACUCUGAUGGUUCCCACUUGAAAUUGCUCAUCAAGUGCAAAUAGCUCCCAGCCUGGAUGGCUGAGCUGCUCUCCAGCCUCCUCUCUCUGGAGUAAGAAGAUUUCAGCUUGUGACCUGCCCUCGGGACUUGUGGGUGUACAAAGCCUGUGACCCAGGAAACAAAGUCAACGGCUCACUUUGUCCCCACCCCACCCUACCCCGUCUCCCUCCUACUAAAUGCUGAAUCUCACGAGAGAAGAAAACCAGCCACAUAAAGGAUUUGAAAGCUCAACUUGCUUUCCCACUCUGUUAUCCCUGGAGUUGGCUUGGAUUCACCCUGAAGCCUUCCCCCUCCCGGGGAAAGUUGCUUCACGUUGCAGCUCAGCAGGUUUGUCCAGCUACAUAGGCUCCAGAAAACAAGAAGCAAGACUGGAAAGCUGGGGAUGAUUGUACGCCCUCGCCUGAAUCUUACGUGGUUCCUCCUUCUUCCACCUGGCCAGUGCAGAGCCGUGGGUGCCACGUGGCCACUUCUGGAUUGGGUUCCCCUUGGCCUGCCACCCUGUCCUUCUGCUUUCCCACUUUGCCAGCCAGAGUCAAUUUGAGGACGCCAAGUUCUCCUCUCCAUACAGAGCUCCUGGUCUCCUUGUAACUUGUAACUCCUGGGCACAGUUACAAGUGCUGAAUUCUUGCGAGGAUGAACUCAAGAUACAAAAUAUGCUUGGCAACUCACCCCUGAGUGGCCACAGGCACACGCAGGAGUCGAACCCACCCACCUCUGCUGACAGUCAUGGGUCAAGCUCAAAGUCCUGGCUGCUUCUCUGCUCAAGAUAGUGUCUCACUAUGUUGCCCAGGUUGGAUUCGAACUCCUGUGCUCAAAUGAUCUUCCCCUACCUCCAGGAAAUUGCCACAGCCUCCGUAACCUUCAGCAGCCACCAUCCUGAUCAGUUAGCAGCCAUCAUCAAGACAAGACCCUUCCCCAGCAUAAACAUUACGGCUUGCUGAAGACUUAGAUCAUAGUUAGCAUUUUUAAGCAAUCAAGUGUUUUAAAAUUAAGGUAUGUACAUUAUUUAUUUAUACAUAAUGCCAUCUUACACUUAAUAGACUACAGUAUAGUGAAAACAUAACCUGUAUAUACACUGAGAAACCAAAAUCUUCAUGUGACUUGCUUUAUUGCAGUGGUCUGGAACUGAACUCACAAUAUAUCUGAGGUAUGCCUGUAUUUCAGGAAGUCUAACAAAAACCACGCAUCAUUUGUCUGUGGGAAGAGGGUAUAGUAUAAUUGAA